UAAAAUAAGUACUUAAUAGAGAUCGGAAGAGAGUUCUUAUCCGAGAUCCUUCAUCAAAUUUUAAAUCAAACACCUUAAGAGAUCAGGGGAGAGUUCUUACCUGAUUCUCGCCUAAAUUAAAACAGGAAGAUCAGAGGAGAGUUCUUAUCUGAAAUCUCCCGUUCAAAACUCUUAAUAAAAUAUGCCUAGAGAUCGGGAGAAGUUCCCUGCCCGAGCUCUCUUGAUA
rnacentral:misc_RNA from 1 species